UACAGGAGGGUGCGAGCGUUAAUCGGAAUUACUGGGCGUAAAGCGCGCGUAGGCGGCUUUGCAAGUCGGGUGUGAAAUCCCCAGGCCUAACCUGGGAACUGCAUUCGAGACUGCAUGGCUAGAGUAUCGGAGAGGGAAGUGGAAUUUCAGGUGUAGCAGUGAAAUGCGUAGAGAUCGGGAGGAACAUCAGUUGCGAAGGCGGCUCUCUGGACCAGCACUGACACUGAGGCACGAAAGCGUGGGGAGCAAACAGG
rnacentral:rRNA from 1 species